rnacentral:lncRNA from 1 species
CAGUUUUCCUCCGAGAGAGUUGGGGAGUGGAAAUGAGAAGAAAGAAAAAAAACCUGGAGAUAAGCUUUUGUCUGGAGCCUUUCAUUCCUUGAAACUAGGUGUUUACCAAAUGGACCUGGAGCCAGGGCAAGGGGUUCCCAAACUUGUGGUGCAACUGCUUCAUCUGCAUAGGGCGUCCCAAGCAGAAAAUGGGAUUUUUAUGUUUUCAAAAGAAACUGAGGCUCCAGGAGGAGAAGCAACUUGUCUGAAGCCCAUCCUACUCAGCUGGAUUGGAACUGAGAUGCAGCGGAGCCUUUCCUGGAACAAAUUCCUUCAGACAAAUUCUCCACCAGACCGUCAAGUCAGGGUGAAUGAGGGUAAAUGGGGAGCUUGUUAGGAGUUGGUGCCAAACUACCCGGAGUUUCCUGCGCCAGGUGAGCAUAAAUACAGGCCGAAGUCACCCGUUACUAACCCCUCACCCAUGACUGCCCAAGAGGUAUUUCUCAGGCUUUAACCA